GUGCUCAUUUUGGCAGCACAGUUAACAGAAAAUUGAAUUGACAAAGAGAAGAUUAGUAUUAUCUGGCAUAAGGAAGGCACAAAAAACCAUGAAGUGUUUCAUAUUAAA
ensembl:snRNA U6 U6 spliceosomal RNA